AAUCAACGCUGGCGGCGUGCCUCAGACAUGCAAGUCGAACGCGAAAGCCCUUCGGGUGAGUAGAGUGGCGCACGGGUGAGUAACACGUAGGUAAUCUACCUUUGGGUGGGGAAUAACGACCGGAAACGGUCGCUAAUACCGCAUAAUGCAGCGGCACCACAUGGUGACAGUUGUUAAAGCGGGGGAUCGUAAGACCUCGCGCCUGGAGAUGAGCCUGCGGCGGAUUAGCUAGUUGGCAGGGUAACGGCCUACCAAGGCGACGAUCCGUAGCCGGCCUGAGAGGGCGGACGGCCACACUGGCACUGACAUACGGGCCAGACUCCUACGGGAGGCAGCAGUGGGGAAUAUUGGACAAUGGGCGAAAGCCUGAUCCAGCAAUGCCGCGUGAGUGAUGAAGGCCUUAGGGUU
rnacentral:rRNA from 1 species